rnacentral:rRNA from 1 species
GAUGAACGCUGGCGGCGUGCCUAAUACAUGCAAGUCGAGCGAACAGAUGAGGAGCUUGCUCCUCUGACGUUAGCGGCGGACGGGUGAGUAACACGUGGAUAACCUACCUAUAAGACUGGGAUAACUUCGGGAAACCGGAGCUAAUACCGGAUAAUAUAUUGAACCGCAUGGUUCAAUAGUGAAAGACGGUUUUGCUGUCACUUAUAGAUGGAUCCGCGCCGCAUUAGCUAGUUGGUAAGGUAACGGCUUACCAAGGCAACGAUGCGUAGCCGACCUGAGAGGGUGAUCGGCCACACUGGAACUGAGACACGGUCCAGACUCCUACGGGAGGCAGCAGUAGGGAAUCUUCCGCAAUGGGCGAAAGCCUGACGGAGCAACGCCGAGUGAGUGAUGAAGGUCUUCGGAUCGUAAAACUCUGUUAUGAGGGAAGAACAAAUGUGUAAGUAACUAUGCACGUCUUGACGGUACCUAAUCAGAAAGCCACGGCUAACUACGUG